rnacentral:rRNA from 1 species
UAGUCAUAUGCUUGUUUCAAAGAUUAAGCCAUGCAAGUCUAAGUAUAAACUAUUACUAUGGUGAAACUGCGAAUAGCUCAUUACAACAGUUAUUACUUGUACGUCUGUCACUGUACAUGGAUAUCCAUGGUAAUUCUGGUGCCAAUACAUGCACGGAGCUACUCAGUGAGUGGUACAGCAUAAGUUACCGAGAAAGGGUUUACUCUUACGGUGAACGUUAUGUUUAUUCAAUCGAUUUUCGAUGGGACGUUGAGGUUUCUGCCCUAUCAGCUAUCGU